GUGCUGGGAGAGACUUCAGUGAGACUAUCCACCCUCAUCAUCCUCUCUGCUCUCUUCUUCGCACUUUUGAGGGUGAGGUGAGGCAGAAAAUGCUCUCCGCCGGCGCGAGGCAAAGGUCACGCCGCUGAGAUCUGCUCGGAUUAACGGGAGGUAUCAAUGCGCCAAAUCCAGCCAAAUUGGAAUAAUCGGGGUGGACGGUCACCUGUGGACAUGUAUCAAGGUGGAACGAUGUCCACCAACCACGGACCCGCGUCUUACGAGCCCAGUUUCCUCCAUAACGCCGCUUCUGCGGCCACUUCACCGGUGUACGUGCCCACCACCCGGGUGACCCCGAUGAUACCGGCCCUGCCGUACCUCCAGACGUCCCAGCAGAGCAGCCCCGUGUCGGGUCACUCGGCCUGGGCGCAGUCGGGCGCGGAAGCGGUGGCCUCGUACAACUCCACCGGAGCGCACCAUCAUUCCCCGGUGUCCAGGUUCUCCUUCUCCACAAGUCCUCCGUUAACAUCCGGGGUCGCUGCGGCCCGGGAGACGGCGACCUUCACGAGCCCGUUGAACGUCACCGCCAACGGGCGGGAGCACUACGGUUCUCGGGGUCUGGGUGGCUCGUAUCACAGCGGGUACCCGGCCUACGUGAGCCCGAAUAUCGGAGGCUCUUGGGCGGCUUCUCACUUCGACAGUUCCGUGCUGCACAGCCUCCACACCGGUGGACCGGGCAAUGCCACAAGACACCAAAAUUUAGAGUUUUUUGAUGACUUUGCAGAGGGCCGUGAGUGUGUGAACUGUGGGGCGAUGUCCACUCCGCUCUGGCGGCGAGAUGGAACGGGUCACUAUCUGUGUAACGCCUGUGGACUCUACCACAAAAUGAACGGAAUAAACCGUCCGCUCAUUAAACCUCAAAGACGAUUGUCUGCGUCCAGGCGGGUGGGUUUGUCUUGCACUAACUGUCACACGACCACAACUACACUUUGGAGACGUAAUGCAGAGGGUGAACCGGUGUGCAACGCUUGCGGGCUCUACAUGAAACUCCAUGGGAUUCCUCGUCCUCUUGCCAUGAAGAAGGAGGGAAUUCAGACGCGCAAACGCAAACCCAAAAAUGUCAACAAGUCCACACCUGGAACCGCUGGUUCUGAUGGUCAGAUCCCGUCCAGUGCUGUGAACUCCAGUCCAACAGAAGAACCACGAGCAAUAAAGACAGAACCAGACACAGUGUCACUCUAUACAUACCAUCAUAUGCACACACAGUCCAUCAGGCUCAAGACCACAUCCACGCACAACAUACCACGUGCCCCACCAAGAGUGGACCACACAUUAUAGCGACCACGAGGAGGUUACCCCAUGUGACUCUUCCCUCCCUAGCAACUGGGCCAAUUUGGUUGCUUAGGAGACCUGGCUGGAGUCACUCAGCACACCCUGGAUUCGAACUCACAACUCCAGGGGAUGGGAACUAUUUCUUCUUCCGCUCAUCUUAACAUGCAUGUUGAAAGACACAAGCAGAUAAGCGCUUGCGCCAUCACAAGACUCGUUCAAACAAGAGGGAUCAGUGCCUUAUAGAGGUCUCUGCGAUUCCUACAUACAUGGGAACUCAAAGCGGAAGUUCUGCUCUCAAACUUUCUCCGAGUGGAUCUUCCACCUCCAAGAGUGAAGCGUGGAACAGCCUGCUUUUAGCUUAACAAAUCAACAAGCUUCUGUUUUCAGAAAUCACUCCCAGUAGAGGCCAGAGUCUGGACUGGAGAACUUCAGAUGAGACCACAAGAGCAAAGAAGACCAUCAUCUGGUGUUAGCAUGGAGCUUCAACGAUAGAAUGAAGAUAUAUAUCUGAUGGAUACAGAAAGCAGAAUCCAGAGCACUGUGUUGGAUUCAGACUUGAUUGUGAAAUAAAGGAUGCAAACAUGCAGGAACUCGCCGUGAAUUCACAGAAUCACAAGAACCAGAGAACUUUAAAUAACACUAAACAUCAAGAUCAUGGGCUCCUCAUGGAAUCAUCCACGGGUGGUUGAUGAAGGGUCUUUCAGCCAACUAGACUGUAGCAUCUACUUCAUUCAUUUUAAUCCACUGGUUUCAUGACUUUUAAACUGAGUUGUUGUUGCCAUAGAUAAGAUUUCUUAACCCUUAAAGAAUGGGCUACUGGAUUCAGAUGACGAUAAAUUGGAGUGAUUUUUCUUCAGUGUGCUUUCUAGUAAAUAUACACAACAAUUUUGGUGUUUUCUUCUACCUUUGUUUAACAAAAAGACAAUUUCUUUACAUAUGGCACUCCCUAUAAGUCCCAGGUGUACUAUUGUAUAAUGAAACAACCAUCGAUCGAGACAUUCAGAUUAAAUUCAAAGCACUACCGCUCCAUUUUAAUGGAUAUUUCCAGCUUUUCCCACUCUCAGUAAAUUCACCUGCUUAUCAUUAUAUGCGGGCAGAUGUUUAUUUUAGUUCUUGAAUUUUAUUAAACAUCUCUAUGAGCAGAUGUAUCCCAAAGAACUAGCAAUGAUUUUUUUUUAACUUAAUCCUGCUCAGUUUUGACUUUUGCGAAAGAAAUUCCGCUUUUUCUCAACUUUUAGCUGCCAUGGGCUUUUGAUCUAAAGCAUCUUGAAGUGCACCAAUUGUUGAGAUUGUCAAGCAAACCUGCAACCUUCGUAUUUGCAGCCACAGUCAUAAAAAUUUGCCCACCAAUUGCUUUCCUCUUAGUAGGUGCCGCCAUGUUAUUAAGCAGCAUUCUAGUUGCAAAGAAAAUGAUGUAUACUUCCUGUCCUGAAAGCUACAUCCUUAAACACAUUUUUAAUAACCUUACCACACAUUCUGGGUUACUCACAGAUGAUCUCCAUUGAUUUUUACUGAUUAUUAAACUUUUAAUAAUUAUUCUAAUAAUAAUAAAACAGUGUUAAAAUGUUCCUUUCCAACUGGAAAGAGGACAAACAUAAAAUGUGAAGACAUUCUAAAUGUGUAUGAACUUACAGAAUGAAGCUGAUCUCCCAUUAUAGAGUGCAAACAAUGUUAGCUUUGGUCAUUUAUAUGUAAAGAAGACAAAUUCCAUAUGUAAUUGUUUGCUUGUAGUAACAUAUGUAGUAAUAUUAUGUAUGUAACUGUAUGUAUGCAACUCAAUCCAUAUUUAACUAGUUGUGCUACACAACAUCAGAUUGAAUGGUUUGUCAUUCAAAAUUCAACUUUUUUUCUUUCACAGAGAGCAAGGACUAAGAUUUUCCACAAGCGCCCAAUCAUUCUGAAGAAAUUAAUUAAUUAAUUAAUUAAAUAAAUAAAAAACUAACAACUGCC